GGUGUAGUGUUUCCUGACUGAAGGUACCAUAUCCACUAUCGCGACGCGACGUACCCCGUAGUACAGCAAAAUUGUUGACGCCAACUCGUGCAGCCUUCCAUCGGCGCCGGCUCAUGCGAAUCUCGUCGGAGCGGCAGCAAGCCAUGGGAGACUAUCUGAAUUCGAGUUCAUCUCGCCGCCACCGGGAAUCGGCUCCCCUCGGCCGGAUCCGCAUGAGCCCCGCUAUGACCACGCCCCUGCUGGAGCUCGAAGCCACAGUCCGGCCUGCCCGCUGCCUGACGUCCUCUUCGAUUUCCUUGCGAUGAGCACUUCCAGCCAUGGUCGGAAGGCUUCACUCGUUUCCUAGAUCCAUUUUGACGUUUAGUUUAUAUUAUGACGCCUCUACUUUUGGUCACCAACACAUUAUCUAUCGCAGUGGCUUUCAACACUAGUUUUUUGCCGGGCGACCAGGGAUAAAUCCCCGUGGCCGCAAUAUAUAUUUUUUCCAGCAAA